AGGUUGGGGUGCAAGAGUGAGUCUGCAGUGUUGGUGGCACCGGAGGAAUCCUUACAGAAGCUUCAGAUGGACAAAUUGAGAUCAGCUCUGAACUAUGACUAUGAACACGAUAAAGUGAUAAUGUAAGAUCUACGGUCAACCAACAUUUUUCCUCAGAGUGCUGCCAAAGGCAACAGUGUGAAAAUCUGCAAGACCCACAUUCAACCCUGAUGUUAUUCAGCUCACUCUGGUGGAGAUACAGACAGGAUAAGUUUGUCUCAACGGAGAAAGACGGAGCUGUCUGUCAAGAGCAAAGAUCAGCGUACUGCUCCUGGGAGAAGCGAACAGACACCAGCCCGCAGCAUAGGAGUUUGUAAUGCCAUCGGUUUCUUCUGUGUAAAAGUGCAAACCAUUUCUAAGAGCUGGAUAACCCACACAGCUUCAAAUCCAGCUGUGGGAUGAUUUCAAGCCUUAACACUAACUAGCUGCAUUUCCCCACCAGCAAAACAAGAAUAAGGACUUAUGUGACCAACUAAGAGUCCAUAAAGAAUAUGAAAACAGGGCAAGCAUGGUGAUAUUCCCCUGAAUACACUUCCCUCCUCCCUGUGCCUUUGUGAUUCCAUUUCUUGAAGUAAGACUUG